AUUUAAAGUGGUACGCGAGCUGGGUUUAGAACGUCGUGAGACAGUUCGGUCCCUAUCUGCCGUGGGCGUUGGAAGAUUGAAGGGGGCUGCUCCUAGUACGAGAGGACCGGAGUGGACGAACCUCUGGUGUUCGGGUUGUGUCGCCAGACGCAUUGCCCGGUAGCUAAGUUCGGAAUCGAUAACCGCUGAAAGCAUCUAAGCGGGAAGCGAGCCCUGAGAUGAGUCUUCCCUGAUACUUUAAGUAUCCUGAAGGGUUGUUCGAGACUAGAACGUUGAUAGGCAGGGUGUGUAAGCGCUGUGAGGCGUUGAGCUAACCUGUACUA
rnacentral:rRNA from 1 species